rnacentral:rRNA from 1 species
UACGUAGGAUCCAAGCGUUGUCCGGAUUUACUGGGUAUAAAGGGUGCGUAGGCGGUCUUGUGCGUCAGAGGUGAAAUAUCCGGGCUUAACCCGGAGGGCGCCUUUGAUACGGCAGGACUUGAGUACGAGAGAGGAUGAUGGAAUUCCUGGUGUAGCGGUGAAAUGCGUAGAUAUCAGGAGGAACACCGGUGGCGAAGGCGGUCAUCUGGCUCGUAACUGACGCUGAGGCACGAAAGCGUGGGGAGCAAACAGGAUUAGAAACCCC